rnacentral:snRNA from 1 species
UCAACGAGCUCACUAUCG